CCAGAAGUCCAACUGUUAAAAAACUUUUACCCUUUACCUGGCAUGUCAGGCUUUUGGAUUCCUUUCCCCUGAGCUCAAUUUUAAGCCCAGCAGUUUAAGGUUGGGGAAGUUAACUUUUCCAAUUUGGGGGAUACAUCUAAUGGGAUUGUCCUGUGGUACAGGAACACAAAUACCCAUCGGUGAAGAGAGGACAGAGGAGGAAAAAGGAGAAAGAAGGUUUUUUUGUUUGUUUGUUUUAUUUUCAAAGGAAUCCCAGUGAUUCAAGAUGCAUUGGAGAGAAAUACAGACUGAAGAUAAUUGGUUACCCAUCUAGAAAGAGGUAAUAUAUGAAGUCUGGGGGUAAGACCUGCAGUAAUUUCCCUUAAGUCUCAAUAAAUUAGGUUAAAAGAGUACCCACUUAUUACAUUAUCUCAAGUUAAUCUCUAUUACAAGAUCCUCCAAAGAGAAAAAGUAUCAUCUUUUUGAAUUCUGGAGAAAUCCAGCCAAUUCAGUCUUCUCAGCCAAGAUGGAAGCCCUCCCUCUUCCUUUCAAUUCAGUGGAGUCUCAGAUCCGCAAGUAUGAUCUACUACCAUGGUGUCUGGGAAAGAGGUGCUGGUUCCUUGGUGGUCAUAGUCUGCUCUGAUUCCUCCGCUCUAUCUGCAUCCCUGUCUAAUGCGAUGGCGUUUCCGUCUCCAGUUACUGAUCGUGGAGCCUCUCCAGGACUACAGGCUCUUCCUCAGCGGCUGCCAAGCUCCUCUUAGGGAAGCCGGGGAACUUCUGAAUGCCCAAGUAUACCCUGCUGGAGGCACAGGAAUCCUCUUGGAAGCUUUGUCUGGACAUGCUUUAAUACCGUCCAUUUCUACUGUUGCCAUACCAAGCCGCUACUGGUCACCACUGUAAAUCUUUCUGCUGUUUUUUAUAACCACAAAGUAUAGCACAAUUUCUGUCUGCUUUCAUGCACCUAAAACUAUUGUGGUUUUUGCCUUUCCCGGUCUCAUUAGCUAAAACAAAGAGUUGAUAAAGGCACAGGCCCUUUCUCAAGAAACAAAAUGUUGUCUGUCUUCUUUCUGCAGUGAAACAGAAUGUAAAGUCCAGAAAUAAACGUGUAAUUAAAUA
rnacentral:lncRNA from 1 species